rnacentral:lncRNA from 1 species
CGGCUGUUGGCCGUGACUCCGCCGGCUGCCCCUUUCCCUCCUCUGAACCUCUCAAUCCGACGCAGACACCACCAUGGGCAGAGAGCCCCCUAAUUACUCAAGCUAUGAUACAGAUUAUCAGGACAACGAAAUACCGAAAUCAAGCUCAGAAACCAACCAAAUCAGACGAUUUUCCCUAAAUCCCUGCAAAUCCCUAAAUUAUUCGAG